UGAACAUGGUUACCUUUAUUAUGCACAACAGUAAUUCUGUAUUAAUAACAAUAAUUACACCUUUAGAUAUAAUUAGACGAAUUCGCAUUUUAGUAAAGUAUAAAGCAGAAAACAGUAGAAAAUAUUUUUAAAAUAUUCUGUAUACAUAUUGUAUGCACUUGUACCUCUUAUUUGACAAGUUAAAGAUUUUCUUUGUGAUCCGCAUCCCUUCUAUGUCAAAGUGCUUUUAUUUCAUAUUUAACAUUUAAGUAACAUUGUCUUUUACCAACUUUCAGUUUUUUAAAAUAAUUCUAAAACAAUUCUAAAAACCAAUAUUAUUCUUUAGAUUUUAUUGAAAAACAUAUAUUAACAUUAGAAUGAACAAGUUAAAAUUUUCUAACGAGAAUAAUAACAAUAAAAAUAAAGUCAAUAUUUAUAGUCAAAUCCCCAAAGUUUCUUUGCCUUUUAACUAAAAAUAUUUAAGUUGUCAAAUCGUCGCUUGAGUGAUAAACCAUCCUGUUUCAUCUGUGAUCUGAGAAACAUACAGUUCAUAUUAUAUUAUAAUUGUCAACCAAAAAAAAAAAGUAAAAAAUUGCACGUCUCUGAAUAUGUAUGUUUUUCAGCACACCCGCGAAACUGUAUGCUUUUCAGAUCACAUUUGAAAUGGGAUGGUUUAUAUCACCCAAGGGACGAAAAGUGAACGAUAAUUCUGUAGUUCUACCGACAUCGAAUAAAUUUUAUUAAAAUUAUUAAAAUCAAUAUAACUUGUACCUCAUCAUGUAAGACUGUGUUUACGUUUUAGUUCAUUGACUUCUCUCACGUAUUUACUAGUUUGACUUUAUAAGAUGAGUAAAUAUCUUUUCAGUUGACAGUGAAUUGCUGCUUUGAGAAUGUUUUCUCUCUGUUUUAAAUUUUAUUCUUAUAAAUGUGGACCCAUUAAACCCAGAAAAUGAAAUCAGUUGAAGAUUUGAAUAUUCCUGAAAAUGUAUUUGGUUGGGUUUUACGUUUGGAUAACGAAAGUACAUACCUGACGGAGGAAGAUACUCUGUCUGAAGGAGGAAGUGAUUGCGAAAGACUGUUAUUUUAUAGAUGCAUUAAAAUUUCUAUUUGCAUCUUGCUUCGUUUUCAAUGCUAAUGGGCAUAAAUCCAAAAAAAAUAAAUAAAGCCAGACUAUAAUCCUGGACUAAUUGAAGCAGAAACGGAAGUUCUAGAAGAUUCUUUUGAAGAUGGCGAGGAACCGUUGUCCAAAUUAAAUGGAGUUAUAGAAGAGUGGAAGUUACGAGCUUUUCGAUGCCUACGUUCCCUUAUUACGAUCGAGUGAGGAUGAUCUGGAAGAACAACUUAAAAAGCUGGAUGAAAAGGGAAUCAGAUUGAAGUUGCCUUCACUUAAAUUUCUUUGUGUUGAUGAAAAUGAUGUGAAUUAAUUAUUACAUAUUAAAUUUGAGUAAUGAGUUUAAAGAAAAUUAGUUUCGCGUUUUAAUCUUUAAUUUAUUUUUUUAAAUAAAAUAUUUAA